AACGAACGCUGGCGGCAUGCCUAACACAUGCAAGUCGAACGAAGAUAUGGCUUCGGCCAUAGACUGAGUGGCGCACGGGUGAGUAACGCGUAGGAAUUUACCUUUCGGUGGGGGACAACUGAUGGAAACGUCAGCUAAUACCGCAUACGCUCUACGGAGGAAAGAUUUAUUGCCGAAAGAUAAGCCUGCGUUAGAUUAGGUUGUUGGUGAGGUAAAAGCUCACCAAGCCGAUGAUCUAUAGCUGGUCUGAGAGGAUGAUCAGCCACACUGGGACUGAGACACGGCCCAGACUCCUACGGGAGGCAGCAGUGGGGAAUAUUGGACAAUGGGGGCAACCCUGAUCCAGCAAUGCCGCGUGAGUGAAGAAGGCCUUAGGGUUGUAAAGCUCUUUCAACUGUGAAGAUGAUGACGGUAACAGUAGAAGAAGCUCCGGCUAACUCCGUG
rnacentral:rRNA from 1 species